AUUGAACGCUGGCGGCAGGCCUAACACAUGCAAGUCGAACGAGUGGCGGACGGGUGAGUAAUGUCUGGGAAACUGCCUGAUGGAGGGGGAUAACUACUGGAAACGGUGGCUAAUACCGCAUACCAUCGGAUGUACCCAUAUGGGAUUAGCUAGUAGGUGGGGGAAAGGCUCACCUAGGCGACGAUCCCUAGCUGGUCUGAGAGGAUGACCAGCCACACUGGAACUGAGAAACGGCCCAGACUCCUACGUGAGGCAGCAGUGGGGAAUAGUGCACAAUGGGCGCAAGCCUGAGGCAGCCAGGCCGCGUGUAUGAAGAAGGCCUUAGGGUUGUAAAGUACUUUCAGCGGGGAGGCGUUACCCACAGAAGAAGCACCGGCUAACUCCGUGCCAGCAGCCGCGGUAAUUC
rnacentral:rRNA from 1 species